GGAAAUCUCACCAGGCCCGGACACUGGAAGGAUUGACAGAUUGAUAGCUCUUUCUUGAUUCGGUGGGUGGUGGUGCAUGGCCGUUCUUAGUAGGUUGAGUGUUUUGUCUUGUUAAUUCCGAUAACGAACAAGACUCUGUCCUGCUAAAUAGUGACGCGGUUCAUCGAACCGUGGGCCACUUCUUAGAGGGACUAUCGGAUUCAAACCGAUGGAAGUGUGAGGCAAUAA
rnacentral:rRNA from 1 species